GUGGGAGAUGGGGGGGCCGCCGCCGUGGGGCUGGUCUGCGCCGCCUCGCUCAUUGCGUCUCUCCGGGGCGGUCGGUGGUGGCCGCGUGCUGGCGCGCGGCGCGUCGGGUGGGUCGGUGUUUCGCGCUGGGUCGCUAGGGCUCCGCGCUGGGUCUUACUGCCCCCAAAAUGGCCCCGCUGAAGUUUUUAACACAGUCAGCGAGGGCCAGCCCCGAGCCUGGGGCGGCCUCAUUAGCAUUUAAAGGGACCGCGCCGCCAGAGCCACCUGGCGCCGCCUGCCUGGGGCUGCCCCGCACGGGGCAGGGAAAGUUACAGAGGAGCGAGCGAGUGAAUGCGCGAGCGCGUCCCCAUUUUAUCAUCACCGGGGUGUUGGGUGCUGAACUGACACCCGAGGGCUCGAGGACAAGACAUAUUUACGCACCUAGGGCCCACUUCUGCAUUCGUGUACCGCCCCACGCACCCAUGCAAUCGGCUGGGGUAAAGGGGCCCUGGCGUCCUGCCUUACUCACACACCACAGGGGAGGCAGAAGUGUGAACCUACAUCUACUUUGACCUUGCUGCCACCUGUCCCGUGAUAUCCAGCUGCUAACCUAUCCCAGAUGUGAGCUAUUCAGGCUCUCUACUGCUUUCUGCACAUCAACGCCUGAACUACUUGGAAUGUGAUUCUUGGCCUAUACACCUGUUAUUCCUAUCUGAUGUCCAGCUACACCUCAACUCACUGAGAACUCUGCCAAACAGACAGUUAAUUUCUUUUAAGAGCAUUCGCUGCUGAAGAGUGCCAAGGUACUGAUAACAUGCCUCUGUUCUAAGAUGAGGCACUCUCUGCCAGUGAGCACUUUGGUACUGGUUUGAACUAUGCAAAAUCAUGUAUUAUUGAAACUUUUUGUGAACCUUGAAGAAGCCUCUGGACUUCACAGGUGUCAGAGCAGGGGAAAAAUGUAACAGUGCCCUUUCCUCAAUCACAAACCAAAUCCACAAUACCAAAGUUUCUACUAAAAUGAUGAAUAGUGAAAUAGUGAACUAUUUUGAUAUGCAAAUGAUCUCUAACUCUGAAGUCUAUGCAUCAUUAAAUAUUAGAGUUAUUGCUGACCACUCAGACAUCAAUGUUCCAACUCACAUCUGGAGUUUAUCUACACAUUUCAGUAACAUAUUGUUUUUGCCCUUUUCUAAAUCAUGAAGACAGUGAUUAUUACCGUAGUCUUCAUUGUGCUAGGCUUUGAACACACCAAUAACAAGAAGAUGAUCUCUGCUCCAAAGAGCUUACAACGCCCCUCAACUCGAUACUGUACUUGGCAGAUUAUAAUUAUGUUAUAGCCCUUUGCAAUUUUCAAUCCAUAUGAGUAUUCACAUCCAAGCCAGUUUGUAUAAAUUCUGAGUGUAAGAUUUUGUGACACUGAAUCAAAUGCUGUAUUAAAAUCCAAACCUGUUGCU